rnacentral:rRNA from 1 species
AUAUCAAUAAGCGGAGGAAAAGAAACCAACAGGGAUUGCCUCAGUAACGGCGAGUGAAGCGGCAACAGCUCAAAUUUGAAAUCUGGCCUUCCGGUCCGAGUUGUAAUUUGCAGAGGAUGCUUCGGGCGCGGUGCCUUCCAAGUCCCCUGGAACGGGGCGCCGGAGAGGGUGAGAGCCCCGUACGGUUGGCGGCCAAGCCUGUGUGAAGCUCCUUCGACGAGUCGAGUAGUUUGGGAAUGCUGCUCUAAGCGGGAGGUAGACCCCUUCUAAAGCUAAAUACCGGCCAGAGACCGAUAGCGCACAAGUAGAGUGAUCGAAAGAUGAAAAGCACUUUGAAAAGAGGGUUAAAUAGCACGUGAAAUUGUUGAAAGGGAAGCGCUUGUGACCAGACUUGCGCCCGGCUGAUCAUCCGGUGUUCUCACCGGUGCACUCUGCCGGGCUCAGGCCAGCAUCGGUUCUCGCGGGGGGAUAAAGGCCCAGGGAACGUGGCUCCUCCGGGAGUGUUAUAGCCCUGGGUGCAAUGCCCUCGCGGGGACCGAGGUUCGCGCAUCUGCAAGGAUGCUGGCGUAAUGGUCAUCAGCGA